rnacentral:rRNA from 1 species
CGAAGGGUGCAAGCGUUACUCGGAAUUACUGGGCGUAAAGCGUGCGUGGGUGGUUCGUUAAGUCUGAUGUGAAAGCCCUGGGCUCAACCUGGGAAUGGCAUUGGAAACUGGCGACCUAGAGUGCGGUAGAGGGUAGUGGAAUUCCCGGUGUAGCAGUGAAAUGCGUAGAGAUCGGGAGGAACAUCCGUGGCGAAGGCGACUACCUGGACCAGCACUGACACUGAGGCACGAAAGCGUGGGGAGCAAACAGGAUUAGAUACCCUGGUAGUCCACGCCCUAAACGAUGCGAACUGGAUGUUGGGUGCAACUAGGCACUCAGUAUCGAAGCUAGCGCGUUAAGUUCGCCGCCUGGGGAGUACGGUCGCAAGACUG